CCAAUAGCGUAUAUUAAAGUUGUUGCAGUUAAAAAGCUCGUAGUUGAAUUUUGGAUUCUACCAGUCGGUCCAUCUUUUGAUGAGUACUGGUUGUGUGGGGUCUAUCCGCCUGGUAAUACGUAAUGUCCUUUAUUGGAUGUUGCGGGUAGUCAGGACCUUUACCUUGAAAAAAUUAGAGUGUUUAAAGCAGGCUUAGGCCGGAAUACAUUAGCAUGGAAUAAUAGAAUAGGACGAAGUUGUUUUAUUUUGUUGGUUUCUAGGACAACCGUAAUGAUUAAUAGGGAUAGUUGGGGGCAUUAGUAUUCAAUUGUCAGAGGUGAAAUUCUUGGAUUUAUUGAAGACUAACUAUUGCGAAAGCAUUUGCCAAGGAUGUUUUCAUUAAUCAAGAACGAAAGUUAGGGGAUCGAAGACGAUCAGAUACCGUCGUAGUCUUAACCAUAAACUAUGCCGACUAGGGAUCGGGCGAUGUUGUUUCAAUGACUCGCUCGGCACCUUAUG
rnacentral:misc_RNA from 1 species